AAAUUAAUAUUUAUAUAUUUAAUAUUCCCGAAUUUAGAAGAGCAAGUUGUCUAUAGUUCUUAUCGUUGAAUAGAUAUCUUUAAUAGACUUCUUGAGGCGAAACGUUAUUCGUUUCUAAAUAUAUCUGGUUUUUUCAGAAAUAGAUUUAAUCUACUUUACUUUUUUAAGCUUUCAUUUUAUUGGUUGCUUGUUUGAGUAAAGUUAUGCCCUAUGGGAUGAGCUUUAAGGCAGAUAUCUAUAAUAUGUUAUUGUUACUUGAUAUAUAGGAUUAGAAGUUUCCAUUAUUCGGAGGAUGUUAUAGUUUUUUUUGUUAAAAGCUUUAUUUUUUUAUUAUUUAGAUUUUUUAUGAAAAAGAGUUCUUUAAUAACUAAAGUUUGGUUAUAAUGAUAGAAUUAGUAUAUGUAUGUAUGUUGAAUCUAAAUUUAAUUUCUAGGUUAAUAAAAGGAACUCGGCAAAUUAUUUUUCACCUGUUUAUUAAAAACAUGGCCUUUUGAUAAUAAUUUAAGGUCUGGCCUGCCCGCUGAAGUUUGAAUGGCCGCGGUACUUU
rnacentral:rRNA from 1 species